rnacentral:rRNA from 1 species
GAUGAACGCUGGCGGCGUGCUUAACACAUGCAAGUCGAACGGAAAGGCUCCUGCUUGCAGGGGUACUCGAGUGGCGAACGGGUGAGUAACACGUGGGUGAUCUGCCCUGCACUUCGGGAUAAGCCUGGGAAACUGGGUCUAAUACCGGAUAGGACGAUGGUUUGGAUUCCAUUGUGGAAAGUUUUUCGGUGUGGGAUGAGCUCGCGGCCUAUCAGCUUGUUGGUGGGGUAAUGGCCUACCAAGGCGUCGACGGGUAGCCGGCCUGAGAGGGUGUACGGCCACAUUGGGACUGAGAUACGGCCCAGACUCCUACGGGAGGCAGCAGUGGGGAAUAUUGCACAAUGGGCGCAAGCCUGAUGCAGCGACGCCGCGUGGGGGAUGACGGCCUUCGGGUUGUAAACUCCUUUCGCUAGGGACGAAGCGCAAGUGACGGUACCUGGAGAAGAAGCACCGGCUAACUACGUG